rnacentral:lncRNA from 1 species
GGGAGGGGCAAGUAGAGCGUGGUUUGCAUAUUAUUUGAGAAGGUGAUGGCAGCAGCCUGCGGGAAGGCGGGGCUGGACGGUCCAGCCAUAAUACACCAUGUUAGGGGCCCGUGUGCCGGCCGUCUCUGGGCAACACAGAGUCCAGCUACCUCGCGGACUUUUCUUCAAGCUCUCUCCUGAUGUGUCCAAGUCUCUGUGUAACUGAUUCUGUCCCGGAGCUCGUGAGCUCCGGUCUUUAUAUGCAUAUGGACUGUGGUGGUAGUACCGGGCGCCGAGGACGGAGCAUUAGCCACAGCUAGCACAACAGUAGAACAGCCUGUUGUUCCGAGCCGGGCUGCCUAGCCGACAGCAGCGCUCUGGUCUGCUCCCCGAGCUCUGUGCCACCGCACCGCUACCGGAGACCGGAGCUCCCCUAUAAACUCAGUUCAUGUGAAUAAUAUCACUAUUCCUACAGUGACUCCUUUGAGUCGAAGCGAAUAAACUCAACAAGUCAGUGUGCAGGUAAAGUCAGCUGUGAUUGUGCUACUGUGGUUCAUAGUAAAGUACAACAGACGGCUGUAAUCAAGUAACAGACACAUAUUUUCAUAACUGACUGACUUUUCUCCCAGCACUCUCCUUUAUUGUCCGGUCUCGGUAUGCGUGUGCAGCGGUGCGGUGUUAAAGAGCUCGGGGAGCAGACGGAGCGCUGCAGUCGGCGAGGCAGCCCCGGCUCGGAGCGACACAGCUGAGGCUAAUGCUCGUUAGCUCCGUACUACUACCACACUCCAUACGCAUAUAGAGACUCCAGUCUCCGGUAGCGGUGCGGUGGCACAGAGCUCGGAGAGCAGACCAGAGCGCUGCUGUCGGCGCUGCAGCCCCGGCUCGGAGCGACAGGCUAUUCUACUGUUGUGCUAACUGUGGCUAAUGCUCCGUGCUCGGCGCCCCGGUACUACUACCACACUCCAUAUGCGGAGCUCGGGAGCUCAGGGACAGAACCAGAUACACAGAGACUUGGACACAUCAGGAGAGAGCUUGAAGAAAAGUCUGCGAGGUAGUUGGACUCUGUGUUGCCCAGAGACGGCCUGCUACAACGACUCAGGUGGUCCGACCGGUCCUGCUGCCUUCAGGUGUUUGUUGGAACAACAGAUCCUCAUACCUGAGCAGCUGAACAGGUGAUAUGGGUCCUGGAGGUUCUGACCCUCAGUCUGUGUUCACGCCCUGACAGGAGCUCAGGUGAGAUGACUCACCUGAGCUCCUGUCAUAACAAGCUUUCAUUAAUCCUUCUGUCUGCUCGCUGUGAACCGCUCUGUUCUCUUUCACCUGUGGACAGGUGAGACAUUUACAACCUCCCAGUCUUCUUCUGGUCACCUGAGACACCUCGUGCUGCUUCUGCCUCCAUGGACUUUAACCCGAGCACCUCACCUGAGCACCUCACCUGAGCGCCUCACCUGAGCUCAGCUGACAGGCAGCAGUGAGAGUCCGUCAUGAGGAGACGUCUCUUCCUGUUGGGGAUUU